rnacentral:lncRNA from 1 species
UCUGGAGUUAAAGGGGGGUUACUCUAUCAAGGAGCUGGCCAGGUAAACAAAAUGGCAGAAAUCCAUUUAGUGCCAGUACGUCUUGUACGUGGUCAAACUUGUGCAUUGUGUUCCUCUUUCAUAUUCCGAAAGUCGUAUCGUUCACUCCAGUCAGAAAAAUCUGCAGUAUACCGAAAAUAUCUGCAGCAGUUGGAUAUGAAAAUCGAAGGACUUAUCUGUUCAUGCUGUGUUAAUAAAAUUAACCGAUUGAACAAAAUCGACAAUGACAUUUUAACGAAAAUGGAUAUUCUGCAAGCUGCAAGACAAGAGCUGAUGAAAGAACUUUACGAAUCACACUACAAGGAAACGUACACGCCAGUGACAGAAGAACAGAGAACUGAAAACACCUCCAAAGAUGAUGAUCAGUCAUGAAUUUAGAACUAGAAGUCAUCAUCAGGUUUGUCAUCUCAUUUUCUCAAAAGGUCUGAACCAUAAGCGAAAUCAAGCUUAUGCUAUGACAUGAGGGUCCUAUGUUUUGAUGAAGUCUUUCUAAUGCAAGAGCAGAUAUCGAUUUUGCAAUCACCAGUCCUAGCAAGCAAAGGUUCAGGCUGGCACAGACACAAUAGAAGUAACUUCAAAGCAAGCUUGGGAGUAACAGGUAAAGCUGGCACUGAAAGUCAUGGCAGAGGUAACAGCUGAGGCAGACACGGAGAGUCAUGGCAGAAGUAACAGCUAAAGCAGGCACUGACAGUCAUGGCAGAGGUAACAGCUUAGGCAGACACAGACAGCCAUGGCAGAGGUAACAGCUAAAUCUGGAACUGAAAGCCAUGGCAGAAGUAACAGCUGAGGCAGACACAGACAGCCAUGGCAGAAGUAACAGCUAAAGCUGGCACUGACAGCCAUGGCAGAAGUAACAGCUGAGGCAGACACAGACAGUCAUGGCAGAGGUAACAGCUAAAGCUGGCACUGACAGUCAUGGCAGAGGUAACAGCUGAGGCAGACACAGACAGCCAUGGCAGAAGUAACAGCUGAGGCAGACACACACAGCCAUGGCAGAAGUAACAGCUGAGGCAGACACAGACAGUCAUGGCAGAGGUAACAGCUAAAGCUGGCACUGACAGCCAUGGCAGAGGUAACAGCUGAGGCAGACACAGACAGCCAUGGCAGAGGUAACAGCUAAAGCAGACACAGACAGUCAUGGCAGAGGUAACAGCUAAAGCAGGCACUGACAGUCAUGGCAGAGGUAACAGCUGAGGCAGACACAGACAGCCAUGGCAGAGGUAACAGCUAAAGCAGACACAGACAGUCAUGGCAGAAGUAACAGCUAAAGCAGACACAGACAGUCAUGGCAGAAGUAACAGCUAAAGCUGGCACUGAAAGUCAUGGCAGAGGUAACAGCUGAGGCAGACACACACAGCCAUGGCAGAGGUAACAGCUAAAGCAGACACAGACAGUCAUGGCAGAAGUAACAGCUAAAGCUGGCACUGAAAGUCAUGGCAGAGGUAACAGCUGAGGCAGACACAGACAGCCAUGGCAGAAGUAAUAGCUAAAGCAGGCACAGUCAUGACAAGCUGGCACAGGAUGUCCUUGCUAGGACUAUAACAAUGCACUUUGUAAUGAUUCAGUUUGUAUCUGUAAUGUAAGGUUGCAAUACAACACUUGAAAAACUUGCCAUUGGGGGACGGGCUUUAUCCUGCAAAUGGUCCCAUUGUUAUUCUAGGUCCAUGCAGUCACUGUUAUUAGUGAAUCUGUGACAUUGUUUCUAUGCUGUCUUGGAAACUAAAGGGUAUCUAUGGUAUUUUUCACUUCUAUGCAACGCCUUAAUCUUAAACUUUCACUGUUUGGGAUUUUGACAAGGACCCUUGGAUUUUCAUGCUUAAUUUCAAACACUGCUGUGUAACUAUGGAAACAGCAAGACUGAUGUACAUCAUGACAUUUGAGUUACCAUGCAGACUUCAUGUUGUUUGAAUGGCUUGAAGUUGUGUAAGGACUGCUGCUGUUGCUACUAGCUUACGUGGGCCUAGUCCCUCUUCAGAGAAUAGUAUUCAACUACGGGAAUGACUAAGAAACCCAACCGUGACAUAUUGAGUGAACUUGAGAGCCAAACUAACAAUGGUUCGAGAAUUCUUGUCCAUAACAUCAGAAAAUAGUACUUGACACUUCAUUUUCAUACUUAAUAACAUGUUCUAUAUAUAAUUUUUAACCUGUAUAGAAUACUAAGAAUGAUAUACCAUGUCCUGCUAGGAUACUCAUAAUGUGGCACAACUUCGCAGAGCACCUAGUCUUCAUUGUAAUGACAAGCUGUCAUUGUAUUUAUUAGUUUUUCUAGUCAACAAUGUAGGGAAAUAUUCACCAUUGAUGAUUUCAGGUAUUUUUAUCUAGUCAUUCAUUAAUGAUAUGUUCAAAGUAAACAUGGUAAAUCACUGUUAAAACAAAGUAAUAAGAAAUGUUAGACGUUUCACCGGACAAUGUAAAUAGAUCAGGAUACUUGAUUUUAUAUACUUCUGACUAAUAUUUAAUCUCUUUGUCCAACAGUAGCAUAAGGAACUAAUUUUGAUCAUGAGAAGAAAGCACCAUGUAUCAUGAAUGUACAUUUCAGAUGCAGAUGGGGAAAAUGUUAUAUAAUAUGACAUUUUCCUAAGUCCGCAAUCAGGCCAGAUAUAGGAUACUGAAUACCUCUUUACCAUUAGUAAUUCACUAUGACGUAAGAUUUGAAGUAUAUAUAGAAAUGUACCUGUUACCCUGAAUGGAAUAAAUAAAUAUAUUAUGA